GAUGAAGAACGUAGCGAAAUGCGAUAAGUAAUGUGAGUUGCAGAAUUCAGUGAAUCAUCGAAUCUUUGAACGCACAUUGCGCCCCUUGGUAUUCCGAGGGGCAUGCCUGUUCGAGCGUCAUUAUAACCCCUCAAGCUCAGCUUGGUGUUGGGGCCUGCUGCACUGGCAGCCCUUAAAAUCAGUGGCGGCGCCAUCUGGCUCUAAGCGUAGUAAUUCUUCUCGCUAUGGAGUCCUGGUGGAUGCUUGCCAUCAACCCCCAAUUUUUCUAUGGUUGACCUCGGAUCAGGUAGGGAUACCCGCUGAACUUAAGCAUAUCAAUAAGCGGAGGA
rnacentral:misc_RNA from 1 species